rnacentral:rRNA from 1 species
UACGGAGGGUGCAAGCGUUAUCCGGAUUCACUGGGUUUAAAGGGUGCGUAGGUGGGUUGGUAAGUCAGUGGUGAAAUCCCCGAGCUUAACUUGGGAACUGCCAUUGAUACUAUCAGUCUUGAAUACCGUGGAGGUCAGCGGAAUAUGUCAUGUAGCGGUGAAAUGCUUAGAUAUGACAUAGGACACCAAUUGCGAAGGCAGCUGGCUACUCGGAUAUUGACACUGAGGCACGAAAGCGUGGGGAUCAAACAGG